rnacentral:rRNA from 1 species
AUGUGGUGUAGCCUAUGGCCUAUGUUUAUUGUUAUUCAAGUACAGUAUUGUUGGAUAAACCAUGAUUCGCCCUUCCUGGGCCUGCUACUUUUCAACUCGCCGUCUGCCCCUCAUGGGUGCUCUUUCCUAGGUUUGGUGACGAGAGAGCCUUGCAGAGGUGCUGCUGCUGGGAUUUGCUGUUGUAUUCAUGUUCUAGUAACCGUGGUUCGUGUAAGCAUGCCUGAACUUGGCAGCACUGCUCCUCCCUCGUUGAUUUAUAGUAUACUUAUUCUCCAUGUGAGAUUUCCUGUUAGCCGGAUUAAAGUCGUUGUAAUCAUGGUAUUGCUUGAUUUUCUCCCCAAAUUUUUUGGGGCAAACAUUGCCCGAAAACUGUCCUGUAAAAUAAGCUCAGGCACAAUGAAACAGUCCGGAGAUUUUCAUGCCAAAUGA